GCCUGGUUUAUACCGCAUUGAAUACACCGGUUCUCGUCCGAUCACCGAAGUUAAGCAACAUCGGACGUGGUCAGUACCUACUUGGAUGGGUGACCGUCUGGGAACACCGAGUGACGUUGGCU
rnacentral:rRNA from 1 species